GCAGUGGUAGUUCAGUGAUAGAAUUCUCACCUUCCAUGUGGGAGACCCAGAUUCAAUUCCUGGCCAAUGUA
rnacentral:tRNA from 1 species